rnacentral:rRNA from 1 species
GACGAACGCUGGCGGCGUGCCUAAUACAUGCAAGUCGAGCGAAGCGGCGGAUGGGUGAGUAACGCGUGGGGAACCAGCCAUUAAGUAUGGGAUACCACUAGGAAACAGAUGUAAAUACCGGCUACUAACGGAUGGACCUGCGAGGAAGUAGCUAGUUGGUAAGGUAACGGCUUACAAAGGCGAUGAUGCAUAGCCGAGUUGAGAGAGUGAUCGGCCACAUUGGGACUGAUACACGGCCCAAACUCCUACGGGAGGCAGCAGUAGGGAAGCGUCCACAAUGGACGAAAGUCUGAUGGAGCAACGCCGCGUGAGUGAAGAAGGUUUUCGGAUCGUAAAGCUCUGUUGUUUGUGAAGCGGUAAUCAACCAGAAAGUCACGGCUAACUACGUGCCAGCAGCCGCGGUAAUAC